AAAUAAUUGAAGCUCACUGAAUACUGUGGAUAACGUAAACUUAAAAGCUACAAUAAGCAACAAGAACAACAAUAAUAAGCAACAGACGAACUACCAUUUCUGACUACAUCCACAAGGUGGACCAACAAAGCAGAUAUUCAAGUGUCCACUACCAUCACUGAGCCACAUUUGCUUAUUCACCUCUCAUACAUGAGUAAAAACUAUGAACACUACUCUGCAGCAUCUAACAUCCGGCGUAGAUCAUCAGCCAAGGUCACAAGAUCCAGCAAGAAGGUUCUGGGUUCGAUCCCCAGGUGGGGCGGUCUGGGUCCUUUCUGUGUGGAGUUUGCAUGUUCUCCCCGUGUCCGUGUAGGUUUCAUCCGGGUGCUCCGGUUUCCUCCCACAGUCCAAAGACAUGCAAGUGAGGUGAAUUGGAGACACUAAAUUGUCCAUGACUGUGUUUGAUAUAACCUUGAGAACUGAUGAAUCUUGUGUAAUGAGUUAACUGCCUGUCCUGUCAUGAAUGUAACCAAAGUUUAAAACAUGACGUUAAAAUCCUAAUAAACAAACAAACAAACUGUAA